CGAACGUACAGAACCUUCCUUUAAGCGGGGGAGUAGCCCGGAGAAAUCCGGAUUAAUACCCCAUAGUAUUGUUGUGUGGCAUCACAUAAUAAUUAAAGAUUUAUCACUUAGAGAUGGCUGUGCGGCUGAUUAGGUAGUUGGUUGAGGUAACGGCUCACCAAGCCUUCGAUCAGUAACUGGUGUGAGAGCACGACCAGUCACACGGGCACUGAGACACGGGCCAG
rnacentral:rRNA from 1 species